rnacentral:ncRNA from 1 species
CACAGCACCUCUCUUUACUACUGUUUGAAUGGUUUAGUGAAGUCCUGAGUGUUGAGAAGACAUUUGAACUUGAUUACCUAGAGGAAAUAGAAGUCAUAACAAGGUUUCUGUAGGUGAAUCUGUGGAAG